rnacentral:rRNA from 1 species
GACGAACGCUGGCGGCGUGCUUAACACAUGCAAGUCGAACGGAAAGGCCCUGCUUUUGUGGGGUGCUCGAGUGGCGAACGGGUGAGUAACACGUGAGUAAACUGCCCUUGACUUUGGGAUAACUUCAGGAAACUGGGGCUAAUACCGGAUAGGAGCUCCUGCUGCAUGGUGGGGGUUGGAAAGUUUCGGCGGUUGGGGAUAGACUCGCGGCUUAUCAGCUUGUUGGUGGGGUAGUGGCUGACCAAGGCUUUGACGGCUAGCCGGCCUGGGAGGGGAAACAGCGACCAGAGGACUAAGGGACGCAGCAGACUGCUACGGGAGGCAGUGGUGGGGAAUAUUGCGGAGUGGGCGGAAGCGUGAUGCGGAGGCGCCGCGUGCGGAAUGAUGGCCUUCGGGGUAUGAACAGAUUUCGCAUUAGACGAAGAGUGAGUGACGGUAAUGGGUAAAGAAGCAACGGCUAACUACGUG